AACGAACGCUGGCGGCAUGCCUAACACAUGCAAGUCGAACGAGACCUUCGGGUCUAGUGGCGCACGGGUGCGUAACGCGUGGGAACCUGCCCUUAGGUUCGGAAUAACUCCCCGAAAGGGGUGCUAAUACCGGAUAAUGUCUUCGGACCAAAGAUUUAUCGCCUUUGGAUGGGCCCGCGUUGGAUUAGCUAGUUGGUAGGGUAAAAGCCAACCAAGGCGACGAUCCAUAGCUGGUCUGAGAGGAUGAUCAGCCACACUGGGACUGAGACACAGCCCAGACUCCUACGGGAGGCAGCAGUGGGGAAUAUUGGACAAUGGGCGAAAGCCUGAUCCAGCAAUGCCGCGUGAGUGAUGAAGGCCUUAGGGUUGUAAAGCUCUUUUACCCGGGAUGAUAAUGACAGUACCGGGAGAAUAAGCUCCGGCUAACUCCGUG
rnacentral:rRNA from 1 species